AGCAAGAAAAAUAGUCAAGAAAAACAUUAAAGAUAGAGUUACAGAUUAAUUUAAUGUACACAACUUGAUAGUACUAAAGGCUUGGGUUUCUCAAAGGCCAAACUGUUCCUCUCUCUAUGCUGCUGACACUCAUUCAGAGUUAACAAAAUAGUGAAUAAGGGAGAAAUGGUGGAUAAAAUUAAUUCAGGCUUUCAAAAGACUUUUGAUAAAGACUCUUACAAGAAAUUCUACGGGAAACUUGGUAACCAUGGAGUGAGAGACAGAGUAGAAAUGGAAAAGGCACAGACAGGGGCAGAAUUGCUGAUCAAAGACACAGAUGUCAUCUGUGCAAGAAACUAUAAAGCAGAACAGGAUUCUUCAGGCUAGGGAAGAGGUGGCCCAGAGUAAGAAUGACAAGGAGGAGACAAACAGGGAUCAACCUGCAGCACAUGAUCUUAAAGUCAUGAGUUUUACUGUUGCGUGGUAAGUUCAAAACAGACAAAAUGAAGUCAUUCCUCACAUGGAGUGUGAAACAUUUCUGAAAGAAUCUAUUAAUAUCGUUGUGUUUAAGGUACCUGCAUACUCCUAGAAGGAGAAUCCUCUGGAGGUGACUAGAUACUGAGCUAUCACCUCCAUUUCAGGAAGUGUCUAGCAUGAAAACCUUUGGACAUGAAGGACAAACACUGCUUUCUGGCCCUGCUUUUCCCCUAGGCAUCUGUCCCUGGCCUGUGUCAGAGACAGACAAUUGAAUUGGAUAGAGUUUUGAUCUACACAUUUUACACUACACAACUAUAAAUAAUUCCUGGAAGUUAGUCAGGUGUAUGCAUACACCAAAAAUGGCAUGUGGAGAGAAGCAACUUGUGUUGCUGGAUGGGAGAAGAACAGAAAAAAUAGUAUCCAGGGAACAUUAGGACAUUACAUGUUAUGGUUUUAUCCUCUUGAAGCUAAGGCUAAACAGACUUCUACAUAUCAAAAAAAGGUUUUGACAAUCAGUGGGAGUUGGUUUAGCCCCUCAGGGCAAAGCUUUCUUUCCCUCUCCCAUAUGUUCCCAUUGCAGAUGGAGUUUCCAGAUAGGGUUUAUGCUUAAGAGAUACUGAGGUGCAGAAGAAUCACUCUGUGGUGACUCAGGGUCCAUCUAUUUGUUAUUCUGUCUGUAUCUAUCACUUUCAUUUUCUUGUGUUUUCUCUGAUAAGGGACCUUAGUGACUGAAAUAUAGAUCAAAGCUCCAGCCUAAGGCUUGUCAAAAGGAAA